rnacentral:misc_RNA from 1 species
UUAGCCGCUAGUGAAAAAUCCAAUGGUUGGUAGCUACCCUUUCUUUAUCUUCCCUCCAUUAAUUUCAUUGUCCUGUUGCUCUUAUUCGAGUCCCUGUGACAGGCAGCUAGGAAUCCAUGGAAGACUCAGAGAAAAGCUUGGAGGAGACUUUACUACCAAAACAGAGAGAAGAUGAAACGCAAAGUUCAGCUCUAACUUGGGAUGUGUUCACUCAAGAAUGCAAAAAACUAUGUUAUAUAGCAGGUCCCAUGGUGGCUGUGACUUUAUCCCUUUACUUGAUUAACGUUAUAUCAAUGAUGAUGGUGGGUCACCUCGGUGAACUUGCUCUCUCUAGCAGCGCCAUAGCCAUCUCUCUCUCUGCUGUUACUGGCUUCAGUCUCAUGGUAAUUAAAAUAUCCAUUUGUGUCUUCCCAUAUCUAAGUUUUCCUUAUGGCUCAUGUUUCUUGACGAUCUUUUCUUUGUCCUGCGUGUAAGUUCUAACUUCACUUGAAUGCAUGGUCGUUAAAGCUAGACGAUUAGCAAGAAGUGAAAAACCCAGAAAUUAGUAUCCUGAUUCAAGCGAAUGCUGCCUUUUGGUAGAUAAUUUUACCUGGAGUAAUGGGUUCUGCCCAAAUCUUUCUCCCAAUAAAAAAAAAUAGAAGUUAAACAAAAUCUUGAACAGAAAAUCUGAUUUGAAUAGCAGAGAUAUUAAAUGAAAUGAUUCGAAUUAGUAAUUAUUAGCAAUUAAAUCUUUUAUUACAGGUUGGAAUGGCAAGUGCUCUAGAAACUCUGUGUGGGCAAGCAUAUGGGGCAGAGCAAUAUCGGAAACUUGGAACCCAAACUUACAGUGCUAUCUUCUCUCUAAUCUUAGUCGCUCUUGCUGUGUCUUUGCUGUGGUUCAACAUGGAAAAGCUGCUCAUACUACUUGGCCAAGAUCCAUUAAUUGCUCAUGAAGCCGGCAAAUUUACAAGCUUACUUGUUCCGGCUCUCUUUGCUUAUGCAAUUUUUCAGCCGCUUACUCGAUACUAUCAAACACAGAGCUUAACCAUUCCCAUGCUCAUAAGCUGUUGUAUUACACUUUGUUUGCACGUACCCUUAUGUUGGAUCCUAGUAUUCAAAUCUGGACUUAAAAACCUUGGAGGGGCAUUGGCUAUCAGUAUUUCGCAUUGGUUGAAUGUGAUUUUUCUUGCAUCAUACAUGAAAUUUUCUUCUGCCUGUGCAAAAACUCGUGUUCCAAUUUCUAUGGAGCUGUUCCAGGGAGUUGGGGAGUUCUUCCGCUUCGCCCUCCCUUCUGCUGUAAUGAUUUGGUAAAUUAUCACCCUUCUUUUAUUUUUUUGAACCCACUAUUUAGCUUAAAGAGUGAUUAAUACUAUUAAUUCUGUCCUCAGACAACCCUUAACGUUUGUGUUUCUUGUUGAUAACCGUAGCCUGCAAUGGUGGUCAUAUGAAUUUGUAAUCUUGCUGUCAGGCCUCUUACCAAAUCCACAGCUUGAGACUUCAGUCCUGUCUAUAUGGUAAUCUAUCCCUUACUAUUAACUGUCCGUGUGAUAUCAUCUUACUGCAACAGCAAUCGGGAAAUUUUUGUUUAUAUCCAGUCUCGCAUUUCUAUCUUAACUCUGAUAAACUGGGUUUAUGUAAGUUUUUCCUUACAUAUAUGUUUGAUCAAACUUAAUAUUUUCAAAUCUUGCAAACAGUCUUACCACGAUUGCAACCCUCUAUUCAUUUCCAUAUGGGCUAAGUGCUGGAGUGAGGUUUGCUCCUUUACACGUACAGCUUUUUGUUUUUUCUCUUUUUCUUUGGGAGGGAGGAAUGGACUGGAUACUGAACUCAGGACUCCACAUGCAAUUAUCUGUGCAGCACUAGAGUCUCAAAUGAAUUAGGAGCUGGGAAACCACAAGUGGCACGCAAAGCUGUCUGGUGUAUGAUGUUUAUUACGGCUGCAGAGUUGAUUCUGGUGAGCGGAACUCUCUUUGCAAGCCGGCAUAUAUUUGGCUACACUUUUAGCAGCGAGAAAGAAGUGGUGGACUCUGUAUCAUCCAUGGCUCCUCUGGUUUGUUUGUCUGUUAUCAUAGAUGGAUUACAAGGCGUCUUUUCAGGUGUUGCAAGGGGCUGUGGUUGGCAGCAUAUAGGAGCUUAUAUCAAUUUAGCAGCACUAUAUCUGUGUGGAGUUCCAGCAGCAGCCACACUUGGAUUUUUGUUCCAGCUUAAAGGAAGAGGCCUUUGGAUUGGCAUAAGUAUUGGGGCACUUUUGCAAGCAGUACUGCUUUCUUUAGUCAUCAUUUAUACGGAUUGGGAAAAA